rnacentral:rRNA from 1 species
AGAGUUUGAUCCUGGCUCAGAUUGAACGCUGGCGGCAUGCUUUACACAUGCAAGUUGAACGGCAGCGGGGGCUUCGGCCUGCCGGCGAGUGGCGAACGGGUGAGUAAUGCAUCGGAACGUGCCCAGUCAUGGGGGAUAACUACGCGAAAGCGUAGCUAAUACCGCAUACGCCCUGAGGGGGAAAGCGGGGGAUCGCAAGACCUCGCGUGAUUGGAGCGGCCGAUGUCGGAUUAGCUAGUUGGUGGGGUAAAGGCCUACCAAGGCGACGAUCCGUAGCGGGUCUGAGAGGAUGAUCCGCCACACUGGGACUGAGACACGACCCAGACUCCUACGGGAGGCAGCAGUGGGGAAUUUUGGACAAUGGGGGCAACCCUGAUCCAGCCAUGCCGCGUGAGUGAAGAAGGCCUUCGGGUUGUAAAGCUCUUUCAGACGGAAAGAAAUCGGGCGGGUGAAU